GCGUGGGUGGAGCAGCGGUAGCUCGUCGGUCUCAUAAGCCGAAGGUCGCAGGUUCGAUUCCUGCCCCCGCA
rnacentral:tRNA from 1 species